GAUAGCCAUAAAUCACAAAGGGCUUAACAGUGCCCUCAGUAACUAGCCGUACAUCAUCAAUUCUGCUCCCGUAAAUUCCCCCCCAGAACAUGCCUUUUCCCACCAGCAAUAAAGCUCCUACACCCACAAACACAACACCCUCCCCCAAAAUUAAGCCCAGCUGUUUGGGCUCAUCCCA
rnacentral:antisense_RNA from 1 species